GGAGGGAUCAUUACAGAGUUCAUGCCCUCCUGGGUAGAUCUCCCACCCUUGCGUAUUUAUACCUUUGUUGCUUUGGCAGGCCGCCUGGGCUCGCGCCUGGCCACCGGCUCCCGGGCUGGUGCGUGCCUGCCAGAGGAUCUCCAAACUCUAGUUAUCAGUGUUGUCUGAGUACUAUACAAUAGUUAAAACUUUCAACAACGGAUCUCUUGGUUCUGGCAUCGAUGAAGAACGCAGCGAAAUGCGAUAAGUAAUGUGAAUUGCAGAAUUCAGUGAAUCAUCGAAUCUUUGAACGCACAUUGCGCCCUUUGGUAUUCCGAGGGGCAUGCCUGUUCGAGCGUCAUUUCAACCCUCAAGCUCUGCUUGGUAUUGGGCCCUGCUGCGAUGGCAGGCCUUAAAAUCAGUGGCGGUGCCGUCUUGGCUCCAAGCGUAGUACAUCUCUCGCUCUGGAGGCCGGGUGGUGUCCUGCCAGAUAACCCCCAUUAUCUUUCUAUGGUUGACCUCGGAUCAGGUAGGGAUACCCGCUGAACUUAAGCAUAUCAAUAAGCGGAGGAAAAGAAACCAACAGGGAUUGCCUCAGUAACGGCGAGUGAAGCGGCAACAGCUCAAAUUUGAAAUCUGGCUCCUUCGGAGUCCGAGUUGUAAUUUGUAGAAGAUGCUUCGAGUGUGGUUCCGGUCUAAGUUCCUUGGAACAGGACGUCACAGAGGGUGAGAAUCCCGUACGUGGCUGGAGGCCUACGCUCAUGUGAAGCUCUUUCGACGAGUCGAGUUGUUUGGGAAUGCAGCUCUAAAUGGGUGGUAAAUUUCAUCUAAAGCUAAAUAUUGGCCAGAGACCGAUAGCGCACAAGUAGAGUGAUCGAAAGAUGAAAAGCACUUUGGAAAGAGAGUUAAAUAGUACGUGAAAUUGUUGAAAGGGAAGCUCUUGCAACCAGACUUGCGCGUCGUUAAUCAUCUGGUGUUCUCACCGGUGCGCUUGGCGACGCUCAGGCCAGCAUCAGUUUUGGUGGUUGGAUAAAGGCCCUGGGAAUGUGGCUCUCUCCGGGGAGUGUUAUAGCCCAGGGUGCAAUGCAGCCUACCGAGACUGAGGACCGCGCUUCGGCUAGGAUGCUGGCGUAAUGGUUGUAAGCGACCCGUCUUGAAACACGGACCAAGGAGUCUAACAUCUAUGCGAGUGUUUGGGUGUCAAACCCAUGCGCGUAAUGAAAGUGAACGGAGGUGAGAGCCCUUAAGGGUGCAUCAUCGACCGAUCCUGAUGUCUUCGGAUGGAUUUGAGUAAGAGCAUAGCUGUUGGGACCCGAAAGAUGGUGAACUAUGCCUGAAUAGGGUGAAGCCAGAGGAAACUCUGGUGGAGGCUCGCAGCGGUUCUGACGUGCAAAUCGAUCGUCAAAUUUGGGUAUAGGGGCGAAAGACUAAUCGAACCAUCUAGUAGCUGGUUCCUGC
rnacentral:misc_RNA from 1 species